AAAAAAUUAGUUAAAUAAAUAACAUUAGUAUGUCAAACUAAAAUUAUUAACCCCUUUAAUAUUUUUUA
rnacentral:tRNA from 1 species